rnacentral:tRNA from 1 species
AGCUUUAUAGUUUAAAAAAAAACAUAAAUUUUGUAAAUUUAAAUUAAACCUAAUAAUUUUAAAGCUC